UGCCUUUCAUUGCUAAAUAGUGAAACUGACUCUUUGUUCAGUUCUCAAUCUGAGCUAGGAUCCAUCCCAUUUUUGCCAGAUGGUUUGAAGAAUCUGCAGAAAUCUGCCAGUCUCUUUCCCCCUGCCCUUCUUGUAAGCAACUGCACCUGUCAGGUAUGAGUAGAAAGCCAACUGCCUCACCUAUCUUUUUUUUUUUUCUUCCCCAUCUCUCCUUAAGGCAGAAAAUCCUUUCUGGUAAACUCUUCUGCUCUAAAAAGUAACCGUCUUAAGAUUGCCACACAAAAAGUACAUAACAGAAGUAUUUGCCUCCUCUUAUGUCAGGCAUCUCACUUUGAACAUCAAGGAGUCUGUCUAGCAUGCAGAAGUGCCCAGAGGCUAUGAAUGAAACUGCUGAACAUUUCACAGAUACUGCAAGGGGCAAUUUCUGCCCCAUGCAGUUUACAGCAAAAAAUAAGCAAGACAGCCAAAAGCAGGAGGCAAUAACCAAGGGAGGGAUUUGGCAUGAAAUCUGCUGCAAGAACAUGCAAGUGCGGGAAGCAACAGAGAGCUCUGCUGCUGCAGAUUUCCGUCAGGGUUAG
rnacentral:lncRNA from 1 species